UUGGAACUUACCAAAAGCACUCAAAAGCAUGAGCACCAUCGGCUAGGAGUCUUUAGAUUCCCCUUUUAGCACAAUCUCUAGGAAUUACGAUUUGAUACACCUCUUACUUGGCCUCGACCACCAUAUCCAUAGUCGCCGCCGCCGCCACCACCACGAGGUCCACUAUAACCGCCACAUGAAUGAACGUUACCGCAGAAAGCUUCUCUCAUUUGCCAAAACUCUAGCAUUUUCAUCACCCGUAUUCAUCUCAAUAAAGUUCGUCCAUGCAAAAUUCUUACGUCCAUUUAAUUAUGCUUACAUGGACAUGCUUCUUUUAAUGGAUUCUUAUAAACAAAUUUCCAAUUUCAACAAAGCUAUUUACAAUGGGCGUGAAAUCUUGCAACCUGCGAGAGUGAAAGAGGAGAUCAGAGCAAUAAUUAAGGAAAUACAAUCUCACAACAUCCAUUUAGAAGAAUUUCUCUCCAGAUUCAUACAAUAAACAUACAUAUAGCUCAAUUUCUCUCCAGAUUCAUCAAUUCCACUGCAGAUUUUAGAGAUUUAAAGUGAACUGAUCCAAAUAUUUCCAGAUUCAAAGGAAGAAAAAGAGAGAUUGAAGAAUCUAGAUGACAACCCCAGAAAUCCAGAUUUGAGGAAUCCAGAUGACAAUGUCGGAACCAGAAAAAGAGCGCUCGAGGAAUUCUUUGGAAACCAAGAAUCCUAGGGAAAUAAAACAACAUUCUCGCUCAAUGACAAAAGAGAGAUUACUGUUUUUGAACCCUUAAACUAAUGCCAAAAUGAUCUCCUCUUCUUCUCUUUAGCUGCUUAUAGAGACCGGGCGCUUGGUAAUGAGUUUCACUGCAUUGGUAAUGAGUUUCAAAUAUUAUUUUUAACAUUACAAGUAGAGAGAUCUAGGAUAUAAAUGAUUUACUAUCCAUCGGGAUUGUACUAUAUGGUUACGAAACAGCAUCAAAUGAUUUAGCGUCCACGCAAACAUGAACAUGUGGAUAUCCCAUCCUCUUAUAAACACUUUUGCAGUUUUUCGGUGUAUCAUUUCAAUAGUUUAAAAUGAUUUAAUGUCCAUAGGGAUUGUACUAUGUGGUUAUGAAUCAGUUCCAAAUGAUUUUGUAUCUUUGUAAUUUAGCUUUUCGUGUGACUCAGCUAAUCAAUCCUUCUUUCGUGCGUUGUAUCAAAACUUCAAGCAGCUUAGGAUCCAAAAACUUCAAGCAGCUUAGGAUAGACACUUGGUUUACAGUGUUGCAACAAAGCUCUGCCUAGGUUCUACUCUACCUGUCACCUAGAUUACAUAGCAAAACAUAACCAGCCAUAUCAAAGGUUAAUACUUUCAACUAAAAAACUACAGUUCGAAGAUAAUCCAGUAGAUACCAUAAGAGAGAUUCAGGUGAGAUGAUUUGCAACUGAUUUAUGUAUAUACCAUAAGAGAGAUGCAGAGUCAACACAAACAAGCUACACAAAGUAGUAACAAUAAAGAGUUAUAAGCGUUUAAGUAUAGCAAACAAACAAAACAGGAGAUAGCAAUACUGUAGGACAACUAGUUAGCAACUAAAAGGAGUAAAAACUUUUAAAGAUCAAGACCUUGAUAUCCUCACAAAGUCACAAACAUUCACAAAUUCGAAAUCCAAAUUUUGAGGUUUCAAGGGAAGAGAUAACUCGCGUAAUUGUAGACUUAGAAAUCAUCAAUGAAAAACGUGACACUUCCCAAAUCAAAGGUCAAAGCUUCAUCUAACCGAUGAACAAUCGCCUCAAAUUCCAAAAUCCAUCUCAAAUACAUAAAAAUAAGGUGAAGAUCAACAGGGUAUCGUCUUCCUUUUUUUUGUUUUAUUAUAGCCACAGUUUUACUUGCGUUGAAUAAUUCCGUUUAUCUAAAAGACAAGAAAUCAAACGACAACAUCAAUUACAUAUCCACUGCAUAUGCCAUGGAAUCAUCGAUUACAUAUCCUUCGGUUUGUUGCAUUUUUCCCAAUCGAACUUCAAGCAAAAACAAAAUCGAAACAAUCAAAUGUUGUAUGGGAAAGGAAUAAGAUCUGGAAAAACAAUGAAGCAAGAGAAUUACUUUUUAGGGUUGAGAAACAUAAUAGCUGGUUGACUUUUUAGCUGUGGCACAGAAGAAAUUGAAGAGACAACCCAUGGCUUCGAUGAAAUCGGAAGAGAGAAAAAGGAACAGCAAUGGAAGAAGCUACUGAGAUUUUCCGAGAAAGAUAGGAAAAGUCGAGAGUGAAAGAAUUGGUGGGUAUGAGUCAAUUGUUUUCAAAUUUGAAAUUAUCUGAUGGAAAUCACGGUAAUGAGAUAAGUCCAGAAAUGG
rnacentral:lncRNA from 1 species